AGAGAUAUAGCUAAAAGGUUAAAGCGGCGGUUUUUGAUGCUGUUAUUCGUUGGUUCAAAUCCAAUUAUCUCUU
rnacentral:tRNA from 1 species